rnacentral:rRNA from 1 species
GCGGCCUAUCAGCUUGUUGGUGAGGUAAUGGCUCACCAAGGCGACGACGGGUAGCCGGCCUGAGAGGGCGACCGGCCACACUGGGACUGAGACACGGCCCAGACUCCUACGGGAGGCAGCAGUGGGGAAUAUUGCACAAUGGGCGAAAGCCUGAUGCAGCGACGCCGCGUGAGGGAUGACGGCCUUCGGGUUGUAAACCUCUUUCAGCAGGGAAGAAGCGAAAGUGACGGUACCUGCAGAAGAAGCGCCGGCUAACUACGUGCCAGCAGCCGCGGUAAUACGUAGGGCGCAAGCGUUGUCCGGAAUUAUUGGGCGUAAAGAGCUCGUAGGCGGCUUGUCACGUCGGGUGUGAAAGCCCGGGGCUUAACCCCGGGUCUGCAUUCGAUACGGGCUAGCUAGAGUGUGGUAGGGGAGAUCGGAAUUCCUGGUGUAGCGGUGAAAUGCGCAGAUAUCAGGAGGGACACCGGUGGCGAAGGCGGAUCUCUGGGCCAUUACUGACGCUGAGGAGCGAAAGCGUGGGGAGCGAACAGGAUUAGAUACCCUGGUAGUCCACGCCGUAAACGGUGGGAACUAGGUGUUGGCGACAUUCCACGUCGUCGGUGCCGCAGCUAACGCAUUAAGUUCCCCGCCUGGGGAGUACGG